CGCCAUCUUGCAUCUAGUCGCUUCUGCCCAGUUUUCGUUGAAUCCUGUCUUUCUCAACGGCUGUGUGCUCCUUUUAACGGUCGUGCCCUGCCCCUGUUCUCCCUGCCUCACAGGACAAGACACUGAAGAAGUCCUAUUACCUUCUUUUAGAGAGAAGGUAAUAGGAGAAGAGUUCACUUUAUUCCCUCCCAGGGACACCAGGUUAAUACUGUGAACAGCCACGUUGGGAAAGUGGACAUGGACAAUCCAGAGGACAGCAGUAGAGUGUCUCCAUGACCGGUAGGCUUCUCAGUGGCCACCUGUUUCCGAGGAGCUCUGCUCUCAUAAUGACAAGGAAACCUAAAGGCUGAAAAUAGAGCAGAUUUCCCAGAAUCUCAGGACAAACACUUUCCUCACUGCUCCCUGCUUUGGCCAGGCUGGUGUGUCCUUCAAGGCCUGAGGAAGUCACUUCCCAUUGGGUUAAACUAGAAAAGGAAUGUACGGGCAUAGAAUUACCAUACAACCCAGCCAUUCCACUCCCAGGAUAAGAGGAGAGGACCAUUGCCAGUUCUGGUGUCAGGUGAUGCUCAGGGAGCAAGAAGGACUUCUUGGCUUGGACCAAUCACCCUGACCAGGGUUGCUGAACCCCCCCAGCUGACUUCUGCCUUGGGAGUGAGGAGCUGCAGGGAAAGUCCAGACUGGGGUGUAUUGGCCAUGCUUUAGGACUGGAGAUGUCUCCUCACUCACCAGUGAAGCUUCCAAUCUGCUGCUUCGCCAUCUUCCUUCAAAAACCCAGCUCCGGAGUUCCCGUCGUGGCGCAGUGGUUAACGAAUCCAACUAGGAACUAUGAGGUUUCAGGUUCGAUCCCUGGCCACACUCAGU